UGCCUAUAUAUACUGAGUUCUGCAAAACAUUAAAAUAUAAACAAUAAUAAUAAUAAUAAUCCUUAACAAAUAUUUAGGCAUAAAUAACAGUUUAAUGCUAAAUGGUUUUCUAUAUUUUGACAUUAAUUAAAAGUAAGAACUUGGCUAAAACAGUCCAAAGUUUUAUAAAUAUAGUUCUAAAACAUGCAGGUAUCACAAAUUCAUAUAUAAAAUGCAAUUCAUAAAUGUAUCUAUAUAUAUAGUAAGUGCUAAUUAAAAUGGAACACAUCAUAUGACAAACCCAUGUGUCCCUGUUUUCUAUUGAAACACAAAAUACUUCUAAAAUAUUCCCAAAUUUGUUGACAACAGGAAAAUAAUCUAGGUCAAUGUCACUGCUGGUGGAGUUUUUUUUAUUCCCUGAGGGGCAUCACCAGCCCAGUAGUCAGUACUUCUGUGUUGACAUGAAUUAUCAUUGAUGUGGUCAUAAUUAUAAAUUAAAUUUUUAUAAAACUUAGAAUUUUUGAAAUACUAAGGCUUUUCUACCUCAGGAAUAGACUACCUUAGCUGUAUUUGGCAAAACGUUUAGGAAUUUUGGGUCCUCAAUGCUUUUCAACUUUGUACUUUAUUUGGACUUUUUAACUUUUUUUUAUUUGAGCGUCACUGAUGAGUCUUUUGUAGACGAAGCACACUUCUGGCGAUAAUACUUAAUUUCAAUCCUGGUUUCUAUGAUGAGUUUAUUUGGUCUCAUGUGAGCUUUUUCAUAUCUUAGAUUUUAAAGUUGUCUUACUUGGUGGUAAAAAUCAUAUCAUAUGGGUUUUGGGUUUUUAUCCAAAAAGAGUUCACAGUUGACCAUACAGAGAAAAGGCCUUUGGAAAUUUUUCUUUUUAUAAAAUAUAAAGGGUACAUUGCAGUUUGAAUUUGUGUCUAUUUGUAUCAUAAAAUUUGUAAGAUUUGAAAAUUGCCAGAAACGUUUUAUUUGUAUAUUCAAAAAUCUGCAAAAUCUAAAGAUUGAUCAAAAUCCAAAGAAGAUCUGAUUGCUUGAAUUAUUUAUUCAAAGAAAAUACCAUCAUGUGUUGUAUUUCUAUUAGUACUCUUUAAACUAUAUAUAUAUAUAUAUAUAUAUGCAGAGGCAGAUCCAGAGGGAGGGUUGCGGGGGUUGGAACCCCCCCUUGUUUUGGGAUGAUCAAUGCAUUUUAAUAAGGGACAUGUGGUUGGAAACCCCCCCCCCUCUUUUCAAAAUGGCUUGAUUGGCCCUGACAUGCUGAAAAAAUUGCUUUCAGUAAGUGAACACAAUACAAAAGUUGAUAAUGUUUCUGAAAAAGGUAAAAAAAAAAUCCAGAAGUAAUGAGAAUCUAAAUAUACAACAAGUGUAUUGCUCAUGAUUUUUUUGUUUUGUGUGUGAAUAUAUGACAUACAUGUAUAUUUAAAGACUCUAUCUCUAUGAGAAAAUAUGAGUGGAUAAAAAUAAGUGCAAUUUAUAUUAAAUCCUGUGUUUGAAAUAAUCAAAUUCAAU
rnacentral:lncRNA from 1 species